CUCGUAUCCUUUCGCCGAUCCUCGAGUCUGCGAAGCAGGCUUAGAAAUAAGAAGAAUUUUAUAUAACUAUCACAUUCACUCCUAAGUUAAGGCACGCUUUGGUUACAUUCAAAAUGACACAUCUGGUUUGGACUUGCACUGUUUUCUUCUGUUUGCUGGCUGUACUCAACUUAGGAGAAUGUAAAGCAUUAGGAAAUGAUAUUGAUACUCAACAAAAGG